rnacentral:rRNA from 1 species
GAUGAACGCUGGCGGCGUGCCUAAUACAUGCAAGUCGAGCGAACAGACUAGGAGCUUGCUCCUCUGACGUUAGCGGCGGACGGGGGAGUAACACGUGGAUAACCUACCUAUAAGACUGGGAUAACUUCGGGAAACCGGAGCUAAUACCGGAUAAUAUAUUGCACCGCAUGGCUCAAUAGUGAAAGACGGUUUUGCUGUCACCUAUAGAUUGAUCCGCGCCGCAUUAGAUAGUUGGUAAGGUAACGGCUUACCAAGGCAACGAUGCGUAGCCAACCUGAGAGGGUGAACGGACACACGGGAACUGAGACACGGUGCAGACUCCUACGGGAGGAAGCAGUAGGGAAUCUUCCGCAAUGGGGGAAAGCCUGACGGAGCAACGCCGCGUGAGUGAUGAAGGUCUUCGGAUCGUAAAGCUCUGUUAUUAGGGAAGAACAAAUGUGUAAGUAACUAUGCACGUCUUGACGGUACCCGAUCAGAAAGCCACGGCUAACUACGUG